GAGACGUGUCAAAAGAACUGCAUAUCCAAAACACUAUGCAAAUUCGAAAAACACAUUAACGGAAAACGGAAAAUCACAACACGACCAUUAUUGCCUACAUAUGUGGAAGGGGAAACUUCUUGCCUGUUUGAGAAGAUAUUUGUUGUGAUGAAUCUAAGACGUCCUGUUCUUCCAGAGGAGGAGACAAAUACAACAUGGCUGAGAGGGAGGUGUUCAAGGACACUGGCACAGCUUUGUAUUGCAAACAGCCCGCCUCACCAUUCCUGCUCCAGCUGCCUGGAAAACAUGACGGCAUCUCCAGAGCCUCUCCAGGACCAGGGGCUCCCCUCCUGCUGUGUGGCCCACUAACGCUGCCUCUCGCUGGACUCCGCCAGCUCAAGAUGUCCCUGUCCUGAUUGAGGCAGAGUUUCUCCAGAUGAAGCUGCUGUGGAGACGAGGACAGAGCUUCCUCUCAGGAAAAGGAGACAGACCGACUGUGGAGGUUUUGCGGAGCAACUGGAGCGAUCAGCCACACAAAUCCACACUAACACACAGACACAUACACAUGUACAGUAUAUAUGCAAUGAUGUUUUGAGUGUUUACAGAUCUUUACCUGCAUUUUAUGUCUCCACACAUCGCUGACUGAUCACCAUCAUUUUGAGUAAGCGUUGUCCUUGUGCGAUGUUGACAGCUCAUAAUGAGCAGUUAAUUAUGCAGCAGAGUCAAUUUAAGUGAGUAAAAAUAAAUAUGUUAACAGAUGGUAAAGCAAUUUGUGCUGCAAAUAUAAUUCCAUUGUCAUUCAGAUUUCUGGACUAAAAUAAACAGAUAUGAGCCCUAAGGAUCUGUUAUCAUUUACCACAUGACGGGCUCUGUCGAUACCCGCCUGUGUAUAUCUAAGGUACUCAUGCACCUGCAUCUGUACAUGUUAAUUCAUGCAUUCUUUGCAUGUCUGUGUGUCCAGAUGGAAUUUGUGAGUGCGUCCAGCUGUUGUUUGUGGUUCCAUGCUGGAGUCCAGCUGGGCUUCCUUAGCAGUUGAGUGGGCUAGACAUCGCUACGCAAGGUCAAGCACACAGCGAUUUGAUCGAUAAUUUUACACAGGUACAUGCUGAGUAAAAGUUUCAAUCUUGACUUCAAAGUUACCUUUGGCUAAAUGACAGUAAUUACAUAAAACAGAGACAAAUUCAUCUGAGGAAUGACAUAGAAACAUGACUUUCAGGUAAUAAUCCAGGACUGUCUGAUUGUCCUAACACAUUAGUGAUCCAAUGUAUAUCCAGUAAGAUGUUUUGUUUUUCUGUAUUAAACACCUGCUUGCUGGCAUAAUUAUUGGCGGCGCUGGGUGUAAAACUUUGGAAGUGAUUUCACUGUUGAGUUUAGUGGUAAAACUCUCGCUUGCCAUUUUGAAGGCCUAGCUUUGACUUUUAGCGAAUGAAACCUUUUCCAGCUCCUCUACAUUAAAGCAGGAAACAAGUCUGCAAGAUAGAUAAAUAUGGUUUGUGUCUGGGUUUCUGUCUGGGUGGUGGUGGAGACAGACAAACUGCUCUAGGACCCUUAGAUAGAUAGAUUAAUUAUGCAAGUGCACUUGGUGUCUGGUACUGUAGGUCUUUCCCAGAAAGAAGGAGAUGGACUGGUAUCGCAUGAGCGCUGAAGAAUAGAGAGGCACCUACAGAAACUUACUCGUAAAUUCAAGGGAAAAAAGUUGCAGGGCUGACAACCAAUUCUUCACUUCCCCACUGACAGCUGGCUUCCCUCAUCAUGCUUUGUUUAUUUGGAGUUAUCCUUAAUAAAUUACUUAUUAAUUUACCUCCCGCGGUAGCUACUUGACCCUCCUGUCUUUGUUAUGGCCUGAAUGAGCCGGGCAUAACAAGUAUUACUAUGCUGUAGCUAUGACCAACAAAUCGACCCCCAUCAGCAUUUUACAAGCAUCGGGAGCAUCGUGGCACUGACCAAAACACUGGCAAUCACACUAUAAACCCGUGCUGCCCUGCAGCAGAACAUCCACACCCUCUGCUGUGGUGCCAAAGCUAGCACCAAAAACACACUGGACCGAUCUACAGCUCCAGAUGUUCCCGCAGCAUUACCUCACUGUGAAACAGUAAAAGUGAAGGAGGGAAGGGGGAUUUGUGAUGAGGGAUUUAUGCCACACCACAUACACAGAACAUUAUUUGGAAAAUGAAAAAAGAAAGAAGUUGCAAGUGAAGUGUCCUUUGAAAUACUUUUAGGAUGAAUAAAUAUUGUUAACUGAAAUGUAGCAUUUUAAUUUGACUUGCCAUGAGGCCUGUUAAGUAUGCCUAUAAUCAUCUUUGGAUACUGUUUGGAGACCAACGGCAAAUAAACGAAUGCGCACAUUUGGAACAAUCUGUCAGUAAUGUCUUCUCUGAGGUGUGUUCUUUCAUUUGGUGGAGGGAUUUCGUCAUCAAAGGUCAUAUGACGUAGAUAUGUUGAGUUUUAGUGUGCUUCUUCAUGCAUCUCCCAUAGGCUUCAACAGAACUGGCACCAAAGUGUGGCACCAAGCAGAGCAUUAGAACGUUAUAAUGAUGUAAUGACCCUUCCUUCAUUUUAAGUUUCGUUGGUUUCUCUGGAUAAUUCACAGACCUUCUCCUUUUCAUAGGGACUAUUUCUUUGGUAACAAACAAAAUUUAAAAUCUAUACUAAACCCCAGUCAUCUACAUUUAAAUCAAUGCCUGUUAGUAUACUGGACUCAGGAUGGACUCAAGUAUUCUUUAACAGGUGGUUCAACUUCACCACAUUCAGACAUUUGCAGCUCAGUCAUUAGCUGUAGCUGCUAGUGAUUUCCUCUGACUUCCUCUGUGUGUUGUGGAGCUAAAAGUGAGUUAAUUUUCUACCCAGACAGAAGAGAUGACUGCAAGUAAUUACGGCACUCCACAGGGUGUACCUGGUGAUAACUGUAGCAGAUAGAUUUAACAAGCAAUGAUCCUGGCCAGACUCACACACACACACACACACACACACACACAGAGCAGGAAAGCAUUAAAAGCAUGUAAACACAGCGCAAAGCAGGCCAACGUACUCAAAUGUACACACACACGACAUGCACCAUUAAAGUUUGUUUACGAAUUGCACAGAGGUAUGUCCGACUUUGAAAAGUAAACUUGUGAUGGUUGAAAGCGCAUCUAAAAGUAGGUCAUUAUGGAGUCGGAAAGCUCGUACCAUCCUCCUCCACCAGUAUAACAGUCCUGACUCUGGUUGUUUUCUCAAGCAAGGCAAUAAUCUGACACCAGCAAAGCAAAGACACUCUAGAUGCUGAUAGUUUUCUUCUAAGAAGUUACAGUACAAAUAGUACAUUUCUCAGAGUUGUUUUCCAAGUGGGCAGCUGAUUACAGCAAAAAAAAAAAAUUGCUCUAAAAACCCAUUGCACAGCAGUUAGCAACUAGCUGGUGAACAUAGUGGAGAAUUCAGUUGCUUUCCCUGCUCGGUUGGUGGAGAUCAAAACAGAGCAAAGCGUGAACAAUAAACUUACAUUGGUCAGGUGGUUAGAAGAAUGACGAUGCAUGCUAACGUUGCUCUGAUUUAGCUGGAUGUGUAAAAUAGGCAACCCUACAGACAGGCACUGUCUUUCUGAUGAAAGCUUGCAGCCCUCAGCUACGCUCCCCCAUUAAUUGAUCACAGGGACUCAGAUGAAAACAAAAUAUCAUGUAAUUUGGUGUGAAUUUUGCCCAAUUACGCCUGCGGCGGGGAUGUGAGUAGGUGUCACUUCAUUUUCGGUCUUAGAAAAAAACUUACUCCCAAGUCACAAAAACAUCUCAUUAAAGUCUGCCAUCAGUCUCUGUUCUGCAAUUUUGAUAUUUGGAUAAAAUCCAUCACAAAAAAGCCUUAUGGUGCUGUGAACAAUGGAUUUCCCCUCUGUGCGAUGACACCAUUGCCUGGUCGGUUUCUUAUAGGCUUUACAAGCUACUUGCUAACUUCCUCCCUGCUGAUGUGGCUUCCUGGCAAUCAGCCAGACCCCUCUCUCCCCACCUCCCAUGGCCCAUAAAGCCGCUCUGCUGCCUGUCCCGUGUGAGACAGGAAGCAAAGCCCUGUGGACAGUGACCUCACUGCAGGAAGAGUAGAGGGUGUGUGUACUGUAAGUGUGUGUACAUGCGCGUGCAGAAUUGUAAUUCUCUUUUCUCUUCAGAUAGUUCACAAAGCAACGUGCUGCACCAGUCUCGGUAUAAAAAGCUUAAAGACUUGAAAUAUUUUCAGAGCAAUUUUUAAUGUGUACAUGUCCAGCAUGGCUUGUUAACACACUCAACUAGAGGUGAACACACAACAACACAAAUGUAUAAAAUCUUACAUUUUCUACAGACCCCUAACAACCAAUCAAAAAACACUAAUUGGAAUGUUAUUAACAAAAAAUGUCAUAUCAAGUUUGGAGAGAACAAAAAUGCACAAAAUAAGACAAAUUAUCAAAGACAGACAAUAACCUCAUCUGUUUUUAUUGACUGCUGCUUUCUUUUUGUAUCCCCCCCCCCAUCUCAUCCCAGUCAGGGAUUAUGGUCAAGUUUUUUCAGAAAGUCACUGAACCGUAGUAAUGAAGAGAGACGUUCAAGAGGGCCUAGUAUGAGAUGCCAAGCUCCGCUGUUGAUGGUCAGUACAGAAUUGACUGAAUAUAACAAAAUCUACUCUCUACUCUAGCGGCAGUUAGUGGAUGAACAGUUUUCUCAAGUGGGCUGCUCAACAGUUUCAAUGCCUGCGUGAAGCCCAGUGAGAGCUGAUCCGCUGCACUCAUCUGGGGCAAAGCGACGACACAGAUGCUCAAAGUCAUUUGUCAGCCAUCUUUUCUGUUUCAUCCCGC